rnacentral:rRNA from 1 species
AUUGAACGCUGGCGGCAUGCUUUACACAUGCAAGUCGAACGGCAGCGCGGGCUUCGGCCUGGCGGCGAGUGGCGAACGGGUGAGUAUUGCAUCGGAACGUGCCCAGUAGUGGGGGAUAGCCCGGCGAAAGCCGGAUUAAUACCGCAUACGACCUGAGGGUGAAAGCGGGGGACCGAAAGGCCUCGCGCUAUUGGAGCGGCCGAUGUCGGAUUAGCUAGUUGGUGGGGUAAAGGCUUACCAAGGCGACGAUCCGUAGCUGGUCUGAGAGGACGACCAGCCACACUGGGACUGAGACACGGCCCAGACUCCUACGGGAGGCAGCAGUGGGGAAUUUUGGACAAUGGGGGCAACCCUGAUCCAGCCAUGCCGCGUGCGGGAAGAAGGCCUUCGGGUUGUAAACCGCUUUUGUUCGGGAAGAAAUCCUCUGGGCUAAUACCCCGGGGGGAUGACGGUACCGGAAGAAUAAGCACCGGCUAACUACGUG